AGACCCUCCAGGGGCAGGGCCCAGGAUUGAAGAGGGAAGCCCUGCUCCACACGUGUUCAUCAGGAAGGACCCACAGACUGCUGCUCCUGGAGGCCUCUCGGUUUAUGGAUGUGUGUUUGUUCCAUAAACCCUCAGAGGGUCACCUGGAGACCCGCUAAAAUGCAGGUUCUUGGGCCACAUCCUAGACCUUCUGACCGACCCAGGGAGUGGGGCCCAGGAAGCUGCAUUUGACAGAUAUCCCCGUGUGAUCAUCAUGCACACAGGAGUGAGAGAACCAGUGUUCUCCCCGGGCAGAAGGGAAGCUCGUGUGCAGGACACCUCACACCUCCUUUCCCAUUCCCCUGCCAGGCUCUCCCUGCUGACAUUGUUUUUGCGGGAGAGCUGUGAAUUCUGAAGAUUAGGUUGCUUCUCACCCCAAGCUCCAGAAGUCCAGGCUGAGCCAAACCAAGCUUCAAGUUGUGCCUGGACUUGGAGAACCAGGAGGUGAGGGGACUGACUACUUGAAGAUCACAUGGAGGAGGAGUCUGAUCCAGGCCCAGAAUAUCGUGACUUGACCAAAGGCUUGAGUCUUCUUUGCUCCCUCCUGCUAGGUGUGGAAGCAGAUAUCCCCUCCAUGGCUGGGCACCAAGGAAAGGCCAUGCAAGGACACAGGGAGAAGGGCAGCUGUCUGUAAGCCAGAAAGAGCCUUCACUAGAAACCAAAUCAGCCAGAACCUUCAUCUUGGACUUUCCAGCCUUCAGAGAUGUGAAAAAAUAAAUUUCUGUUGAUUAACCUACC
rnacentral:lncRNA from 10 species